rnacentral:rRNA from 1 species
UACGGGGGGAGCAAGGCGUUGUUCGGAUUUACUGGGCGUAAAGGGCGCGUAGGCGGCCUCCGCAAGUCAGUUGUGAAAUCUCCGAGCUUAACUCGGAAAGGUCAACUGAUAACUGCGGGGCUAGAGUGCGGAAGGGGCAACUGGAAUUCUUGGUGUAGCGGUGAAAAUGCGUAGAUAUCAAGAGGAACACCGGUGGCGAAGGCGGGUCUCUGGGCCGAUACUGACGCUGAGGAGCGAAAGCGUGGGAGCGAACAGG